rnacentral:rRNA from 1 species
GAUGAACGCUGGCGGCGUGCCUAAUACAUGCAAGUCGAGCGAACAGACGAGGAGCUUGCUCCUCUGACGUUAGCGGCGGACGGGUGAGUAACACGUGGAUAACCUACCUAUAAGACUGGGAUAACUUCGGGAAACCGGAGCUAAUACCGGAUAAUAUAUUGAACCGCAUGGUUCAAUAGUGAAAGACGGUUUUGCUGUCACUUAUAGGUGGAUCCGCGCCGCAUUAGCUAGUUGGUAAGGUAACGGCUUACCAAGGCAACGAUGCGUAGCCGACCUGAGAGGGUGAUCGGCCACACUGGAACUGAGACACGGUCCAGACUCCUACGGGAGGCAGCAGUAGGGAAUCUUCCGCAAUGGGCGAAAGCCUGACGGAGCAACGCCGCGUGAGUGAUGAAGGUCUUCGGAUCGUAAAACUCUGUUAUUAGGGAAGAACAAAUGUGUAAGUAACUAUGCACGUCUUGACGGUACCUAAUCAGAAAGCCACGGCUAACUACGUG